CCUACGGGUGGCAGCAGUCGAGAAUCAUUCACAAUGGGGGAAACCCUGAUGGUGCGACGCCGCGUGGGGGAAUGAAGGUCUUCGGAUUGUAAACCCCUGUCAUGUGGGAGCAAAUUAAAAAGAUAGUACCACAAGAGGAAGAGACGGCUAACUCUGUGCCAGCAGCCGCGGUAAUACAGAGGUCUCAAGCGUUGUUCGGAAUCACUGGGCGUAAAGGGGGCGUAGGCUGUUUGGUAAGUCGUGAGUGAAAGGCGCGGGCUCAACCCGCGGACGGCACAUGAUACUGCGAGACUAGAGUAAUGGAGAGGGAAGCGGAAUUCUCGGUGUAGCAGUGAAAUGCGUAGAUAUCGAGAGGAACACCCGUGGCGAAGGCGGGUUCCUGGACAUUAACUGACGCUGAGGCACGAAGGCCAGGGGAGCGAAAGGGAUUAGAUACCCUUGUAGUC
rnacentral:rRNA from 1 species